AUCAAGCUGACGAGUCCCAAAUAGGACGAAAUACACGUCCUGAAU
rfam:Schistosoma mansoni strain Puerto Rico chromosome 2, complete genome